UAACAAAAGUCUGUAGUUUUCACAGCAAUAUUGCUGUAUUAUGGAAAAUAAUUACUGUAAAGUCUGUUUGCAGCAUGUUGCUGUAGAUUUCACAGCAUUAUUACUGUAAAAAGGAAAGAUCCUUACUGUAAAAUCUGUUUUCAGUAUGUUGCUGUAGUUCCACAAAGCAUCAUGGUAAUUUUUUAAUUCUACAGUAAAUAAUCUUGUUCCUGUGGAUCAUACUACAGUAAUUUCUAGCGGGAAGAGGAGGGAAGCCACAAAGGCAGAGCUGAGACGUUCAAUGUCAUCUCCGCCUUUUUAGUACUGCCUGUGCCUGCGUGUGAAGAGAAGCUAGACCAGACCAGAUAGCAUGAAUGUGUAGCUAGCUCGAGGAACAUUUUUCAAACAGCUGUUGUCCUGGUAGGUGGGAGGAAGGGGAAUAACUGCCGGCUGAAAACGAAUAGUCUUUGCUGACGCUGGAAAUGGUGAGUAUCAAGGAACUGAGAUAGAAAUAGGGACGGUAGUACAAAACAAACAGUUUAAAAAUGUUGAAGUGCAGACAGUG